rnacentral:rRNA from 1 species
CCUACGGGUGGCAGCAGUAGGGAAUAUUGCUCAAUGGGGGAAACUCUGAUGCAGCAACGCCGCGUGAAGGAUGCAGGUUUUCGGAUUGUAAACCCCUUUUGGUAGAGAAGAUAAUGACGGUACCUGACGAAUAAGCAACGGCUAACUCCGUGCCAGCAGCCGUGGUAAUACGGAGGGUGCAAGCGUUACUCGGAUUAACUGGGCGUAAAGGGCGCGUAUGCGGGAUAGCAAGUCAGAAGUGAAAUCCUAUGGCUUAACCAUAGAACUGCAUUUGAAACUGCUAGGCUAGAGUGUGGGAGAGGUAGGCGGAAUUCUUGGUGUAGCGGUGAAAUGCGUAGAGAUUAAGAGGAAUACUCAUGGCGAAGGCGACUUGCUAGACCGUAACUGACGUUGAUGCGCGAAAGCGUGGGGAGCAAACAGGAUUAGAUACCCCAGUAGUC